GGAGUUUGGGCCGUCUCUCAGUCCCAAUGUGGCCGUUCACCCUCUCAGGCCGGCUACCGAUCGUCGCUUUGGUGGGCUCUUACCCCGCCAACUGGCUAAUCGGACGCGGACCCAUCAUACACCGUAUUCGCUUUUCACUCGAGAGGAUGCCCCCUCGGGCGCUUAUGCGGUAUUAGCAGUCAUUUCUAACUGUUAUCCCCCUGUGUAUGGCAGGUUAUCCACGCGUUACUCACCCGUCCGCCACUAGGUUACAACAAGAUUUGACCGAAGUCUCCUCAGCGUUAUAACCCCGUUCGACUUGCAUGUGUUAGGCACGCCGCCAGCGUUCAUC
rnacentral:rRNA from 1 species